rnacentral:lncRNA from 1 species
UUCAUUUAUUCAUCAAGCAAGAAAUCAAGCUUUCAUCCUUCAAUGCAUUCUCUCCUCUCUACCAACGAAUUUAUUUGUAGUAUUUAGUUUCCUUUACUUUCAAUUCCUUUCCAGCUUGUUACCUCUUAGACCAUUUACAAUUCCUUUUUCAAACUUUCUUUUCACUCCCAGUAGCUAACCUACUUUAAUACAUCACCAAAAUUCCAGCCGCUCAUACUCAAUCACGCCACCCAUCUUUUUCACCCAUUUUUACCUUAUUUAAUUUAUCCAAUACCAACAUGCCCCAAACUUUAGCCAACUAAAUCUAUUUUCAACUUUAGGUCGGAAUUAGUCUUGUCAAGACCCGUGAGUUACGAACCGAGUAAAUUAACUCCUAAAUUUCAAUACUUAUUAUUUCUCCGGAUUAAGAGUAUGAUUUUGUCAACUCACAAAGUCAGAUCAACAUUAAGUCAAAAAAGUCUUGAUUUAGUGUGGUUAGACGUACAGUUGGAAUUCUGAAAGGAUCGAUUCUAAUCGGUUUUCUGUGAACACAUUGGUGUGCCAAGUGGAGAUUGCUAUUUGGUUCCGUCAAGGGAAGUAGUAACCGGAUUUAAAUGUCCCACAGGGUUGAGGACAUUGGUUCGAGCUAGGCUCUUCUAGAACGCAAAGCUGCCGGAGUUCUAAAUCACGAACAUUUCGUGGUUGUUCGAUCGGUAAGGGUUAGUUAUUGGACGUUCCAUAACUAAUUUACACAAGGAAGAGUUGGUGUCCGAGGCGUCCUUGGUAGCUAUAACUAGCUUAUUGGAAAAGAGGAGUUCAUCUAAUUUCGAGGAUCGGUUUAAAGAUGAGGAAAAAUUCGUGCCUAAAGUUGAGCUUAUUCUAAUUAAUUUUUCUUCAAAUUUAUUUAACUGUUUUUUAUUAUUUCAUUUUCGACUUUUACUUUUUACGCGUUUUAUUUAUUUAUUUCAAGUUCCAGGUUUUCAAUUUUAUCCUCCCCCCUAAUAUCUUGGGCACGACAACUGCCCCGACAUAAAUCUGGUCAAGAGAGCAACAAUUUGCAGUAAACCCAGUCUCUGAGGGAUUGACUCUACUCCCUAUACUGCUUAAAUUGCAAAUUAGGCGUAAGUUUAUAUUGGUGGACUCGACUCCCAUCACACACGCAAGUUUAGUAGAUCUUGAAGCCUCGAGAAGUGAUUCAGCAUCCAAUUAACAACCCUUAACUCAACAAUGUUUGUAUAGUUCUUUUACGUUUUAAAGUAUGACAUGCACCUAAGGAUUGAAUCAGUUUUGUAGUGUGAAGGUCAUUUGGUAAUCUUGAAUAGGUAAUGGAAGUUUGAGUUUAAUGUAUAUGAAUUGUUAGAUACAUAUGUGGGAUUGAUAUAAGUGUUGAAAUGGCUUAAAUAUUUGCAAUAGAACAUAUGUUGAAUUGGUUUUAAGUUGAAUUGUCAAAUAGGUGAUUUGGAUGGAAAUGUUGUUGAAAUGACAUUAUAUGAAAAUUUUGAAAGUAUAUUGUUAAAAUGGUGGAAAUAGGUAAUGGUUAAUUGUGCAAGUUGUUGUGGUUUGGCAUUUAAUGAUGUUUUGAAAAUAGUGG